CCUGAUGGAAGAACACACCCCCUCCUUUGAAGACCACAUGCCGAAAACACUCAGAUCUGAAUCACAUCAGGACUGUACCUCUCACUACUCAUUUACAAGAAAUACAGAGAACCAAGGAAAAUAUUAAAGGAUGCAACAGGAUGCAACCAGCAAGCCUCACAGAAAAACAAUUCGCCUGCAAAGCAAAAAAAUUUAAAAAAUGUAAAAGAUGGGCUGGGCACGGUGGCUCAUGCCUGUAAUCUCAGCACUUACGGAGGCUGAGGCAAGAGGAUCGCUUGAGCCCAGGAGUUUGAGACCAACCUGGGCAACAUGGGCAAGCCAGCUGCCAUGUUGGGAGCAGCACUAUGUUGAGGGGCCCACAUGGCAAGGAACUGAGGCCUCCAGCCAACAGCCAUGGGAGGACACCAUCUUGGACACAGCUUCUCCUGCCCCAGUCAAGCCUUCAGAUGACUGCAGCCCUGGGCAACCUCUUGACUACAACCUCUGGAGACCCUGAGCCAGAACCACCGGCUGAGCUGCUCCAAUUUCUGAACUUCAGGUGAUCCUCCUGAUCCUCCCACCUCUGCCUCCCAAAGCACUGGAAUUACAGAUGUGAGUCACCGCGCCCGGCCUGUUGAAGAAGUUUAACUCUGCAUAAGGCAUGUUGUUGUGUUAGGUGGUUUCAAGGGGCAGGAAAGACAAGGAGAGUGAGGUUCCUCUUAGGACCAGAUGGUGAAAUGAGGCGUCCCAGGCUUGAGGAGAGCUGGGGGUGAGUGGAUGAGAUCAUGAGGACAGCUGUACUCACAUUUACCUUUUUAAAACAGGGGAUUCGGAGUUAUUAACUGAUGGACAGUAAAGAGCAGAGAGGCCCAAGACUGACUUUCCAGAAGUCUGGAGCAGAAACCAGCAAGCCAGAUGGCAUGAAAAGAGGGAGUGGCUCACAGAGACUGCAGAAGUUAUGGAGCCUUUAUUCUUGUUUCUGUUUUCACCCUUCAUGGGGUUCUUUUUUUUGUUUGUUUUUUUGGCACUGGAAGUAAAAAGUAGUAUUCCCCCAGCUACAUGCUUUUCAUUUUCUUUUCUUUAACUAAAAACAUUUUUUUUUUUUUAGAAACAGGGUCUUGCUGUAUUGUCCAGGGUAGUCUCAAACUCCUGGGCCAAGCCCGCCUUGGCCUCCCAAAGUGUUGGGAUUAUAGGUGUCAGCCACUGUGCCUGGCCUUGCGCUUUUUCUUCUGAAGAGCUUCUAGAUUCUGCUAGAAACUGGACAAGAUCUGAAGGCAGCAAA